GGGUUGUGAGGUUAAGCGACUAAGCGUACACGGUGGAUGCCCUGGCAGUCAGAGGCGAUGAAGGACGUGCUAAUCUGCGAUAAGCGUCGGUGAGGUGAUAUGAACCGUUAUAACCGGCGAUUUCCGAAUGGGGAAACCCAGUGUGUUUCGACACACUAUCAUUAACUGAAUCCAUAGGUUAAUGAGGCGAACCGGGGGAACUGAAACAUCUAAGUACCCCGAGGAAAAGAAAUCAACCGAGAUUCCCCCAGUAGCGGCGAGCGAACGGGGAGGAGCCCAGAGCCUGAAUCAGUGUGUGUGUUAGUGGAAGCGUCUGGAAAGGCGCGCGAUACAGGGUGACAGCCCCGUACACAAAAAUGCACAUAUUGUGAGCUCGAUGAGUAGGGCGGGACACGUGGUAUCCUGUCUGAAUAUGGGGGGACCAUCCUCCAAGGCUAAAUACUCCUGACUGACCGAUAGUGAACCAGUACCGUGAGGGAAAGGCGAAAAGAACCCCGGCGAGGGGAGUGAAAAAGAACCUGAAACCGUGUACGUACAAGCAGUGGGAGCCUCUUUAUGGGGUGACUGCGUACCUUUUGUAUAAUGGGUCAGCGACUUAUAUUCUGUAGCAAGGUUAACCGAAUAGGGGAGCCGAAGGGAAACCGAGUCUUAACUGGGCGUUAAGUUGCAGGGUAUAGACCCGAAACCCGGUGAUCUAGCCAUGGGCAGGUUGAAGGUUGGGUAACACUAACUGGAGGACCGAACCGACUAAUGUUGAAAAAUUAGCGGAUGACUUGUGGCUGGGGGUGAAAGGCCAAUCAAACCGGGAGAUAGCUGGUUCUCCCCGAAAGCUAUUUAGGUAGCGCCUCGUGAAUUCAUCUCCGGGGGUAGAGCACUGUUUCGGCAAGGGGGUCAUCCCGACUUACCAACCCGAUGCAAACUGCGAAUACCGGAGAAUGUUAUCACGGGAGGCACACGGCGGGUGCUAACGUCCGUCGUGAAGAGGGAAACAACCCAGACCGCCAGCUAAGGUCCCAAAGUCAUGGUUAAGUGGGAAACGAUGUGGGAAGGCCCAGACAGCCAGGAUGUUGGCUUAGAAGCAGCCAUCAUUUAAAGAAAGCGUAAUAGCUCACUGGUCGAGUCGGCCUGCGCGGAAGAUGUAACGGGGCUAAACCAUGCACCGAAGCUGCGGCAGCGACACUAUGUGUUGUUGGGUAGGGGAGCGUUCUGUAAGCCUGUGAAGGUGGCCUGUGAGGGUUGCUGGAGGUAUCAGAAGUGCGAAUGCUGACAUAAGUAACGAUAAAGCGGGUGAAAAGCCCGCUCGCCGGAAGACCAAGGGUUCCUGUCCAACGUUAAUCGGGGCAGGGUGAGUCGACCCCUAAGGCGAGGCCGAAAGGCGUAGUCGAUGGGAAACAGGUUAAUAUUCCUGUACUUGGUGUUACUGCGAAGGGGGGACGGAGAAGGCUAUGUUGGCCGGGCGACGGUUGUCCCGGUUUAAGCGUGUAGGCUGGUUUUCCAGGCAAAUCCGGAAAACCAAGGCUGAGGCGUGAUGACGAGGCACUACGGUGCUGAAGCGACAAAUGCCCUGCUUCCAGGAAAAGCCUCUAAGCAUCAGGUAACAUCAAAUCGUACCCCAAACCGACACAGGUGGUCAGGUAGAGAAUACCAAGGCGCUUGAGAGAACUCGGGUGAAGGAACUAGGCAAAAUGGUGCCGUAACUUCGGGAGAAGGCACGCUGAUAUGUAGGUGAAGCGACUUGCUCGUGGAGCUGAAAUCAGUCGAAGAUACCAGCUGGCUGCAACUGUUUAUUAAAAACACAGCACUGUGCAAACACGAAAGUGGACGUAUACGGUGUGACGCCUGCCCGGUGCCGGAAGGUUAAUUGAUGGGGUUAGCGGUAACGCGAAGCUCUUGAUCGAAGCCCCGGUAAACGGCGGCCGUAACUAUAACGGUCCUAAGGUAGCGAAAUUCCUUGUCGGGUAAGUUCCGACCUGCACGAAUGGCGUAAUGAUGGCCAGGCUGUCUCCACCCGAGACUCAGUGAAAUUGAACUCGCUGUGAAGAUGCAGUGUACCCGCGGCAAGACGGAAAGACCCCGUGAACCUUUACUAUAGCUUGACACUGAACAUUGAGCCUUGAUGUGUAGGAUAGGUGGGAGGCUUUGAAGUGUGGACGCCAGUCUGCAUGGAGCCGACCUUGAAAUACCACCCUUUAAUGUUUGAUGUUCUAACGUUGGCCCGUAAUCCGGGUUGCGGACAGUGUCUGGUGGGUAGUUUGACUGGGGCGGUCUCCUCCUAAAGAGUAACGGAGGAGCACGAAGGUUGGCUAAUCCUGGUCGGACAUCAGGAGGUUAGUGCAAUGGCAUAAGCCAGCUUGACUGCGAGCGUGACGGCGCGAGCAGGUGCGAAAGCAGGUCAUAGUGAUCCGGUGGUUCUGAAUGGAAGGGCCAUCGCUCAACGGAUAAAAGGUACUCCGGGGAUAACAGGCUGAUACCGCCCAAGAGUUCAUAUCGACGGCGGUGUUUGGCACCUCGAUGUCGGCUCAUCACAUCCUGGGGCUGAAGUAGGUCCCAAGGGUAUGGCUGUUCGCCAUUUAAAGUGGUACGCGAGCUGGGUUUAGAACGUCGUGAGACAGUUCGGUCCCUAUCUGCCGUGGGCGCUGGAGAACUGAGGGGGGCUGCUCCUAGUACGAGAGGACCGGAGUGGACGCAUCACUGGUGUUCGGGUUGUCAUGCCAAUGGCACUGCCCGGUAGCUAAAUGCGGAAGAGAUAAGUGCUGAAAGCAUCUAAGCACGAAACUUGCCCCGAGAUGAGUUCUCCCUGACUCCUUGAGAGUCCUGAAGGAACGUUGAAGACGACGACGUUGAUAGGCCGGGUGUGUAAGCGCAGCGAUGCGUUGAGCUAACCGGUACUAAUGAACCGUGAGGCUUAACCUUACAACGCCGAAG
rnacentral:rRNA from 1 species